rnacentral:rRNA from 1 species
GGCGGCGUGCUUAACACAUGCAAGUCGAGCGGAAAGGCCUUUCGGGGUACUCGAGCGGCGAACGGGUGAGUAACACGUGAGUAACCUGCCCCUGGCUUUGGGAUAACCAUCGGAAACGGUGGCUAAUACCGAAUAUUCACUGCGGACCGCAUGGUCUGUUGUGGAAAGUUUUUCGGCUGGGGAUGGGCUCGCGGCCUAUCAGCUUGUUGGUGGGGUGAUGGCCUACCAAGGCUUUGACGGGUAGCCGGCCUGAGAGGGCGACCGGCCACACUGGGACUGAGACACGGCCCAGACUCCUACGGGAGGCAGCAGUGGGGAAUAUUGCACAAUGGGCGGAAGCCUGAUGCAGCGACGCCGCGUGAGGGAUGACGGCCUUCGGGUUGUAAACCUCUUUCAGCAGGGACGAAGCGAAAGUGACGGUACCUGCAGAAGAAGCGCCGGCCAACUACGUGCCAGCAGCCGCGGUAAGACGUAGGGCGCGAGCGUUGUCCGGAUUUAUUGGGCGUAAAGAGCUCGUAGGCGGCUUGUUGCGUCGUCCGUGAAAACCUGGGGCUCAACUCCAGGCUUGCGGUCGAUACGGGCAGGCUAGAGUUCGGUAGGGGAGACUGGAAUUCCUGGUGUAGCGGUGAAAUGCGCAGAUAUCAGGAGGAACACCGGUGGCGAAGGCGGGUCUCUGGGCCGAUACUGACGCUGAGGAGCGAAAGCGUGGGGAGCGAACAGGAUUAGAUACCCUGGUAGUCCACGCUGUAAACGUUGGGCGCUAGGUGUGGGGGGCCUCUCCGGUUUCCUGCGCCGUAGCUAACGCAUUAAGCGCCCCGCCUGGGGAGUACGGCCGC